rnacentral:rRNA from 1 species
UUCGGGUUAAGUCCCGUAACGAGCGCAACCCUUGUCCUUAGUUACCAGCACGUUAUGGUGGGCACUCUAAGGAGACUGCCGGUGACAAACCGGAGGAAGGUGGGGAUGACGUCAAGUCAUCAUGGCCCUUACGGCCUGGGCUACACACGUGCUACAAUGGUCGGUACAAAGGGUUGCCAGGCCGCGAGGUGGAGCUAAUCCCAUAAAACCGAUCGUAGUCCGGAUCGCAGUCUGCAACUCGACUGCGUGAAGUCGGAAUCGCUAGUAAUCGUGAAUCAGAAUGUCACGGUGAAUACGUUCCCGGGCCUU